GGUUUUUGUCCGUUUGGAGUACACUUUAGUAAUCUUUUUGGUACUUCUCUUGUUUUGGAUUUGCGGAUUAGUGUCUCUUAAAACUGUGACGUAACAAUUGAUAAGAAAGAUAUUCUUUACAUUGUUUUUUCAUUAAGAUAAAGUGUUAAAGGAUUAACAGGAUGCCAAAUUCUGGUACGUUACUUUUUUACUUUUAUUUAAUUUACUUCGUUUUAUAGACGCGGCACAACAACUAAGCGGACUGAGAUUAAAUGAUUUUCAGAACUAGUUCAAUGUUUUUUUCAAACGCUCUUAUGAUUACUAAGCUAUAUAAAUCAAUACAAAAUAUAAGUUCAUUUGUAUCUUAAGUUUGUUGAUAUAAAAGUAACUUUAUAAUAUUUUAUUUGGAAAUAGCUAGACCAUCAAAAAUAGCUAGUACAUUUAAUGUGAAUGAAAAAACAGUAUAUAGUACCGGUGUUGUUGGUCUCAUACAUAAGUAAAUUUGGUAUUUUUAAAGUCACCCGUUCGAAACUAAAGUCCAGUGCCUCAGAUGUUAUGUACUGCGCACAAAUAUGUUUUACAGAACCGAAGAUGUGGGGUCCUGCGCCGAAAAUAUAACUCUAGCGCUAGUUUGAUGUGUUUUGUCUAGCGCUGUAGAUAUAUAAAAAGUUUAACGCUUUGUAUAGAAAUGCAAGCGCAUGUAUGUUGAGUCUGGUGCUGUUGAUUUCAAAAACAGCGCUAGAGAUUUAAAGCCCAGUGGACAGCUAUGAUCGACAUAUCUAGCACUUGACUUAAAUAACAUAAAUCUACUAUACCCGUAUGUGACCAACAGUGGUUAGCUGAUCCUUCAUUCAAUAGAUAUAGGAAGAUGUGGUGUGAGUGCCAAUGAGACAACUCUCAAUCCAAAUAACAAUUUUAAAAAAAAGUAAACCAUUAUAGGUCAAUGUACGGCCUUCAACACGGAGCCUUGAAUCACACCGAACAACAAGCUAUAAAGGGCCCCAAAAUUACUAGUGUAAAACCAUUCAAACGGGAAAACCAACGGUCUAAUCUAUAUAAAAUAAAAAAAAAACGAGAAACGAGAAACGAGAAACACGUAUAAAUUACAUAAACAAACGACUACUACUAUUAUACAUCAGAUUCCUGACUUAGGACAGACCAAUUUUGAUAUUAUAUAAUUAUAUCGCGUACUCAUCAAUAACAAUAUAAUCAUAUAAGAAAAUAAUCCCAUCCCUAUAACCAAAUCAAUUCUUUGCAUUUACAUUUUAUCUUAUAUUUUAUCACGCUUAAUUUCAUGAAGGUAUAAUUAAUUGAUGUAUGUUUGUUUGGUUUUUUUUUUCUUUCAAAUCAUGGAAUUAUUUCUUGGCUUACAUUGUACAUAGGUGAAUUACUAUGUACUUUAUGACCUUCAGUAAUCACAAAAUAGUUUGUAGACCGUUUUCACCUAACUGAAACAUUUUGAAACGCAUUUAUUUUCAAUAAUGACUAUAACUGGAUGAGAUAAAACCUUGGCGGAACCAGCUGAAUAAAUUCUAUCCUGAUCGGUUGAAAAUAGACGAAACAUUAGAAAAAAAAUCUUGUAAGUCGCUAGUAUUACAUCUAACUAAAACUAGAAACAAAAACGGGUGUAGAGUGAAAAAUAAAAAGACAAGAUAGAGUUAUCAACUAAAAAAAAUGCAGGGCACAAUUGUUUAUCCUAAAGCCCCCAUAUAAAAAUCAAAUGGUAGCUCCAUAAACUCAUUAAAGCAAAAUUCAUUGCUUCUUGCAUACAUGUAACUUACAGACAAUUUAAUAUAGUUUGAACAUAAUUAAUCUAUAUAUAAAAUAAGGUAAAUACUAUAAGCAGAAAAACGGUUGACGUUCCAAUCGGAUUUCGAACGAAGAAAUUAGCAAAACAUAUAAUUAUUCUUAUUUUGUGCCGUAACCCUAUAGCUACUGUCCAAUUGCAAGGUUAGUGUAAGGUUUGGGCGCACGCAAACAUGUUUAAAAGGGCAAUGUUUUUCCCAUGUCAGUAUCCUGUAAUUCAGUGGUUGUCGUUUGAAGAUAUAUAUCUAAACCCAGCCGCAAUUUUGCGCCUGUCCCAGGUCAGUAGCCUCUGGCCAUUGUUAGUCUUGUAUGAUUUUUAAUUUUAGUUUCUAGUGUUUAAUUCGGAGUUAAGUAUGACGUCCAUUAUCACUGUACUAGUAUACAUACAGCUCGGUAUUUUUUAAGGGGCCAGCUGAAGGACGCCUCCUGGUGCUGGAGUUUCUCGCUACAUUGAGAACCCAUUGGUGGUCUUUGGCUGUUGUCUGCUCUAUGAUCGGAUUGUUGUCGCUUUGACAUGUUCCCCAUUUCCUUUCUCAAUUUUAUCCAAAAAAUGUUUUUGUAAAUUGCAGUUUAUAUUAAUCAGGCCAAUAGUUUUUUUUUUUAAUUUUUCACAUUUGUCAUUUCGGAGCCUUUCUUACUUUGCUAUUCUGUAUGGGUUUUGCUGAUAGUUUAAAGCCGGUCCUAUGCAGUGUCCUAUAGUUGCUCACUUUUAUUUGGUUUUUAGUGAAAAUUUUAGUCAAUCAUGCCACACCUACAUAUUUUUUAGUAUAAAAGAUAUACGAAACAAUCAAACCUCAAAUUAAAAGGUAUUCUGGAAGUAAUAGCAUUGGAAAUGUUUUGAACGAUUUAUAAAAGAAGGCUUAUUAUAUUAAAUGUAAUUACAUAUAAUCAUUAUGACUGCUAUAAAAUAAAAAUUUGAUCUUUGGAGAUUGAAAUUUGUAGUUAGACGCAAAAUUUACUUCUUCAAUUUGCCUCCUCAUGUUUGCCUUACAAACUAUGCCUAUCGUUGAAAAAGUACCAUUAAUAAUAAGAAUAAAUAUUUAUAUAAAUAACUUGGGUUCGCUGCAUUUCUUUCAAAAACUGUGAUUUUUGUGAACAUUGUUCUUGCGUUUAGGGGAAUCGUCACUUCCUUUCCAUGUUGAGCGAGUACUAUAGUUCUUAAAAAAUAAGAUGCUAUAUUGCACAAAUUAUUCGGCUUAUUAAAUCUUUUUAACUGCUCAUUAUGGAAUUUUUAUAAAGUACAUUGUACCUUCGGAACAAAGAUUAUUUUAAUUUUCCUACAUAAUAACGAUCACAGCGACUCUGGACGUACUGUAUUAGUACAGGGAUACAGGCGAUCCCCUGAAUGUGGUAAAUGAUGUCAAAAGGCGCGCAUAACUGCCGAUUUUUUCGGCGAAGGACAUAACUCCCAAGUGGUCUAUUGUAAAAGUGUUACAUCAUCUUUAUAGACAAAUAUAACUCUACAGUACUACUAAACUGGUACUGAAUAGAUUCAUCAUAUAAUGAGCAGGGCUGAUAUGCAUAAAACUACUUAUGUUAAGAUUUGUUCAGAACUGAUAGAUUUUAUUUUCAUGACCUACGAUAAAUUAGUACAUAUUGGUCCAGAUUUUCUUUAAAAUUAUAAACGAAGCACUAUAGCUCUUGUUAAAAAUUUAUUUUCCCUCUGACAAGUUAAAUACUUUGUUUCAGUUUAGUUUCUUUUCUUUUUCUUUUUUGUUUUCUUUCUGUGCUUUGUGGUGGGGUUGCGUAGUGAUUGCUAGAAGGAUUCUUGAGUCACAACUACAUACAUAACAAAAAGUGUUUAAAAAAAACUAAGAGAGUCUGAAUGGUGUUUAUAUAACUGGUAGCUGUUACAAACAAUCAAUUAUACACUUUUGUACUAUAAAACGAGAAUGAACGAGAAUGGAACUUUCACUUCGUACUUUCUUUGGCCUAUUAACUCUCUUCACUCGAGUGUCAUCUGUAAAUCUUUUUCUUAAAACAAAAUAAUGUAGAAAUUCAAUAUCUAAGCAUAAUUAUAUAAUAUAUCAAACACAAUGACAUUCUUUCGUGAACAUGUUAUUCUUUUUUUACUGGUAAAAAUGCCUUUGAUUUGAAAUUACCAUAUAAAAAACAUAAAGUAUACAUGCAUUCAUAUUUAAUGGCCAUGUUAAAAACGCUCAAUCAUUUAUUACGACAAGACACCUUGCAUUUACUGUUUUUUUUUUAACUAUUGUCUAUGGAUAAACCGACACAGAAUCUUGACCUACAUACAUUUUCCCGUUGAAAUUUAUCAUGAUUUGUUUCAUGGGGAAUUCUGUAUGACACACAUAUAAAUGAUGAAUACACAAAUUUGGUCUGUAUAACACUAAGGCAGCAACCAUUUGAUUUUCUUGGGGGGGGGGGGGCUAUGGUUUUUUUUCUGGACAAAUUUUUUUUUUUUUGCGACAAUUCGAAAACAAUUUUUUUCUUUCAAUUUUAGCAUUACAUAUAGUGGCAGCUGAGGGUGAAACAAACAAUUUUUUUUUUCUUAGAAUCAAAAACAAAAAAAACCAUAGCCCCCCCCCCCCCCCCCCCCCCAGAAAAUCAAAUGGUUGCUGCCUAAUAUAAAUGAUAAAUACACAAACUUUGACCAGUAUGAAACUUAUACAUGUGUAAAUGAAGAAAACCUUGUAUAUCUAAUAUAUUUUCCUGGGAAAACAAAUCAUUAUUUUUUUUUCGAUUAUCUCCAAUGAGCAAUUAUCAUUUUUUGAAAGUAAAUUGACGCUAAUUAUCGAUCUAUUUUACAAAAAUCGGGAAGAAUCGGGAAGAAAAGAAAACGAAAAUGCAUGAAUUGAGUAAAGUAACGUAAUCUAAACUUAUCACUGUGGCCAAAUUUCAGAUACAAUGUCUUGCCAAUAGCACAAAAAGAAAAGUCUAAGGAUAUCGGUACUUUUGUUUUUCAUUUUCAAUUGAAUUUAGAAAUAUAUGACACAAAUAUUGAAAACAAUUGUAAUCGGUUAACAAUCGAUUAUACCGCUCAUUAUUAUCGAUAAUCGAUUUUAGUUUUUCCGAUAAUCCCAAGGGCCGACCGUGCAAGGGAUGUAUAGCCAGUCAAAGUCGUUAAAAACUUCCAUCAUCGAUAAUCCUAUGAUUUUUGUUAAUCCACUAGGAAGAAUGGAGUAAUAGUAUUCAAUGAUAAAUGAAGGACUGACACUUUGUGUGGAAGUGUAGCACGAAAAACUACUUUCUUUGGAAUCAAUAUAAUGUUUUGAAUAAAUAGACACCACGUGACUACUACUGUAAUAAGUAGAAAACUUAUGAUAAAAUGCUUUAGGAAUAGGAGCCUAGAACUCAACUUCAGGUCAACAAUUUAAAGUUCUUUUCAGGACCGGAAAAAUAUUAAAAUUAAUCAAUUGGUACUGAAACUAAAGAGUGACUGUGUCAGAUCCAUCACUUACUCCCCUCACCCUCCCCCACCUUUCAACGACUGGAUAUUUUUGCAAAUGAUAUAUACCAAAAUUACAAGUCGAACUGGUCAUUUAAAAGGGGUUUGGUUCAGGAAAUGAGAAAUUAGAACCGAGUAGAAAUACCAUGUAAAACUUUAUACUUUCGCCCUUAGGUAAAUUCGUUAACGAAAAAAAGAGUUUCUAGUAUAUAUGUGUUUAGGGGCAAGCUGAAGGAUGCCUCCGGGUGCUGCAUUGAAGAUCUGUUGGUGACCUUCUGCUGUUGUCUGUUCUAUGGUUGGGUUGUUGUCUCUGUAACACAUUCUUAAUUUCCAUUCUCAAUUUUAUUUCCGUUAUUUAGUCUUAACUUUUUAUAUUGUGUCUGUCAAAAGUUUAAUACCUUUUAAAACGUCCGCCAAAAUGUGUCAAAUGUUUUAUGUUUGAACAUUGAAAUUACCCAUGAUCCCUUAUAUCCUUCACUAGCAAGUUGCAGACAAUUUAUUUUAGCGUUUUUUUUUUACAUUGCAACGAGAGACAAUCAAGUUUAUUUUAAGCUCCAAACCGAAAUCAUAGGGAGUUGAAUAUAAAAUUUAUUCUAAUUUACAUUCAGUUUUUACUGUUUGUUAACUUAUAUUACAUAAUCGAGACAUGCAAAGUUAUACCGGAAAUUAAUGAACAGCGAAAGAAAGCUAUAUUCGGCGGUUUUUUUUUAGAUAUAUUUAGGAAUGGAAAUAUAAUAAAAGUACAUGCGUGUUACAAAUGUAUAAUUUAACAAAAAGUAUGACAUAAGUCAUAGAAAUAUUUCGUUGAAUCACGUACAUUCUCGACAUUUAUAAAACCGUGAUGAAAAUGCGUAAAAGCUGUCCAAAUUAUGUUUUUCUUACAUAAAUUUGCCUUUUCAGUAUGAAGAAGCCCACACAGGUUAAAUUAAUUCAGUGCCAUCAAUCUUGUUAAAUUUAGCGAAACGAUAUCGAAAAGUAUAUUUGGUUUUGGUCCAUAGAAGCAACGUUUGGUGAACGACUUUUCCAUAAAAUUAAUAAGUUACCAGAUCCAUCCCCACCCAAAACAAAAAGCAGCAUCUUCCAAAGAAUCAAGCUAAGAAAAUACAAUCAGGUAUUCAGAACAGUUGCACUCUAAAAGUCUGUAAUCAUUUUUUGCACAAUAUAUUUAUAUCCCAUUAGCUAUCUAAAGGGAGGGGGUAACAUACACAGAUUAGAUACAUGCACUGAGUUUUAAGGUAGUUCGCUUCUCAGUUUCAAAGUAAUUAACUUUUCGAAACACUAGUUUAUAUUGAUAGAGGAUUAAUAAAAGAAUUCAAAGAGCAAAAAAAUUAUAUAGGUAACCGUGCUCGUUUUCAGUAUAUUAGCCAUUGACGUUUUGGCGGGAAAAUGUUCUCUCUUGACUUUUCAUAGCUUUAUCAUUGACAAGUAAAAGUCCAUAAAAGCUAUUAAAAGUAAUUAAAAUUUUAAAAGACUUUAACAGACAGCUUUUUAUUAUACAUGUAAAAGAAUAAUCAAAAGAAAAAUGGGGGUCACCGGGCAAAAUUUGUUAAUGCAGUCAAAUUGAUAAAACCAGAGGAUUCCGAAAAUCUUACCAAAAUUCCAAAACAUGACAAGCCAGCUACCUUAAGUGAAUAUUUCAAAACAUAUUGAAAUCAGUUGCAUGUUUCUGGUGGUUGGUGUUAUCUUUAAGCUAAGUGGCAAAUAUUUCAUGCAUGUCCAAGACAAGAACGAUCUAUGAUUGGUUAAUUCUUUCAAAACGUCCAGAGGCAAAUGUUUCAUGCAUGUUCAGAGCGAGAACGGUCCAUGAAAUCUUUGCAUUAUACUGUUGCAUGUUCUCCAACUAGAAAAGUUAAAAACGAAAAAAAAUGAGGUCCGUUUUUUACUAGCCAUGAUAAUUUUAUUUACUUAUUUCUGACAAACAGUCAAAAACAACAUCAACACGUGCUUUAAAAACUUAACAUAUUAUGUAAUUCAAAACCACAAAAAUUAUAGAUGAUAUUUAAAAACAAAUUCCUCAUAUCUAACGAUACCAAUAUUCCCAUUAUUUCAUUAAUGCAUUAAUUUCUGUUCUUGACUUAUCUCUGCGGUAUGCUUAAGAUUUUGAAAUAUACUUCAGAAACUGAAGUUUUAAUAGUAGCAUCACUAAAACAUCUGCUAUGGAAUAUUACGAAAUAAGUUUAUUCCUCGUUCACACGUACAUUUAAUUCGAAUUGACUUCGAAUCUAAUGCAAAUCGAAUUCGCUAAUAGCAUUCACACACUCUUCUUUUUUAAUCCGAAUUGAUUCGAAUUGGAUAAUUCGAAUUAACCAAUUCGCAUUAGAAAUACGCUUUUGCUAAUACGAAUUAAAAGUUAACGUCGUUAGGAGAGUAAAGCGAAGUUGACGUGCAUUGCAAUUCGAAUUAGAAUUGACGUUAGGACGUAACACGUUUCGAAUGCCAAUUAAACUAAUUCGAAUUCGAAUUCGAGUUACGUGUGAACUCAGCAUAAAACACGUUUUUUUUUAUUUUUUUUAUGUACAACAAAAAAAGCAUCAAUACAAUUAUUGAUUAUUUAAGGAAUGACUGUAAUAUUUUUUCUGCCUAUGAAGAAAUAACCAUAUUUUCAUGUUAUUUCGAAUAGACAGAAAACAUAUUACAGUUAUUUCUUAUGUUAUAAUUCUGAAUUCCAUUUUAAACCUGAGAAAACUAUGAAAAAACGUUGAUGACAUCACGGUCACAUGACUAAAUUAUGUCUAUAAGCUGAUAAACAAAACAACGUCAGCCAACCAGAAGACGCGUUACAUCCAAAAUUAAAUUAUGUAACGAUAUCUCGAUAUUUUUUAAGACAACAUUAGCGUUUUCUGUCUUCUCUACAGUAAUGAUUAACUGAGACUGAUUUUAUAAAUUAUUGGAAUUCACGGCAAUAAUAAGUGACAGAUUUGGCAAACAUAGACAUUUCAAGUAUCGUAUAGCGGGUUAUUUUCGCGGGUUUAAAAUUUCGCGAAUUUUCAUUGAAUAAGGUACAAUGUAUACGAAAUCUUUCGGCGGUUAUUAUUUUAGCGGAUCAAUAAUUUUGUAUAUGCCGUUUUAAAUUAGCGGAAUUUAUUUUGGCGAUUUUUUUCAAUCCGCAAAAAUAACCUGCUAUGCGGUAUUAGGUAAAUAAAAAGGUAACCCCAAAAACGUAUUUGACAUUUUCAAAGAAUCAUUUUGCGUCAAUAUUCCUCUUUUCUGAAGCUUUCUUCUUUGUAUGUAAUGUUUGAAAAAAAGAGAGAAGUAAAUAAUUGAUAGAUAUCAAUGGUGGCUGUCUUUGAAAUUCACCCUCAAAUGUAAGACGAUUGCAAACAGAAACUAACGCAAGUUUGCACACACUCAAAAAAGCAAUGUUGAAUGUCUGAUCUAUUGUAAAGAUAGUUUAGUUACUUUAGAUUUAUGAUAUCAGUUAAUAGCAACCGGAAGGUUACAAAUAGCCUUUCAAAAACUAAAUAACAACGUAGCAUCGGACACAACAGGCCUCUUAUGGAACUUUAUGCCUCGUUUAAGAAGUAGCAAUCUUAGGAAAUAAAAUAUUAGAAGAGCCGUUCAACUGGUCGAGUGUUUAAUGCAUUUGAAGUGGAAAACGUCAAUGUAUAAUUAUUAAUGAAGUUUUUGAACUGCUUGUUUUACACCUGUAUUGUUCUUUUCUGUGGUUUUCCGCGAUUUCCAGAAAACUUGUUUUUACUGAAAAGGAGCACUAUGAUUGGGUGAAAACAUAAACAAAAAAUGAAAAACAUUUGACCCUCUCGUAUAAAUUAAUAAUUGAAAAGUUGAUUAAUUUGAAGAGUCCUCUUGAUAAUCUGAAUAAUUCCGUCGUCUUAAAUAUUUCGCUGCUUUACAAGUAGUAAAUUAUCCGGGCUAUAAUGUUGUUUUGUGAAACCAAAAUUAAGAGUUUAAGCACCAAUGAAUGCGGCUGCUUUAAAAGCAUCAUUGAGUCUUUAAGAAUUGAAAAACUCUAUGUGAAAGCAUACAAAAUGUACUAGUAUAGUAAUGUACUUUUUGUUUAACAAAGCCCACGCCACCUGUUGUGUAUGGUUUUGUAAUCAUUGACAGUGAUGGACAGAUAUGUUAAAAGUACACAAACAGCGCUGAACCUUUAACAGUUCAUUACAUAACAAUAUAUGUAAGUAAGGUAGUAAGUAAAUUUUGUUUAGAGUCGAAACAUAUAUAAAUACUAAACAUUUUAUAGCUAUAAACUUUAUUUGUACUCGCUACGAUUAAGCUCGACGAACCUGCAUUCUUUUCUAUUUUAUAGGUUUUACAAAUAAAUUAUAUAUUUCCUACAAUGUUUUACCGUUUGUUGAUGUGGUUCAUAGUUGUUACUCAUUUUUUUAUAUAGAUUAAAUCGUUCGUUUUCCCGUUUGAUUGGUUUUACUGUACACAUACCAUUUUCGGGACCCUUACAUUUUAUAUCUUGCUGUUCGGUGUGAGCCAAGGCUCAGUGUUGAAGACCGUCAUUUGACCUAUAAUGGUUUACUUUUACAAUUUGUGACUUAAAUGUGAGAGUUAUCUCAUUGGCACUCAUACCACAUCUUAUUAUAUCUUCAUAUAUAUUAAAACUAAGAUUAUGUGGCAUGAUUACCAAUUAUAUAACAUUCCACCAGAGAUUCUAGGACCAGGGUAUAAAUAACUUAUGUUCACCACACAGACUUCAACAAUGAGCAAAGUCAAAACAGUAUAUUUAUUUAUAAAUUAAUUAAUUGAUUGAUAAGUUGAUUGGUUUUUUACUCCACUUUCAGCACUAUUGUGCUAUAUCGUUGAAUUCUGAUUUUAUUGGUGAAUAAAUUAGCCUUAAAGAGAAGCAAUAUAUGUCAGAUUGACAUUCAUACUCAUAGAUCGAAAAGGCUAGUGAUACAGUUGUUCGAAUACUUAAUUAAGCCACUCGGCCAUCAACGUCCCUGUAGACAAGUGGUCAAAGUCGAAGUUAUAACUGGUCCAAACAUGGCAAAAUGUGAAAGGAUUGAAAAGAGAAAACCAUGAAUUAGAUAUAACCAUGCAUGUAUGCUAUAUUGGCAUAUGUGGAGCAGGAUUUGCUUACCCUUCCGGACACCUGAGAUCAUCACAAGUUUUGGUGGGGUUCGUGUUGAUAAGUCUUUAGUUGUGUAUGUUGUGUCUUGUGUAUUAUUAUUUAAAACGAAAAGGAAGAUUUGGUAUAAUUGCCAAAUAGACAACUCUCCGCAAGAGUCUAAAUGACACAAAAAUUUACAACAAUAAGUCACAGUGUGGCUGACACCAAUGAGCAAAGCCCAUAUUGCAUAGUAAACUUAAUAAGGCCUCGAAAUGAGAAAUGUAAAACAAUUCAAACGAGAAAUCAAACGGCCAAAUCAUUGGCUGUUUGUCUUUUUUUUUAGUCAUGGCGUUGUUAGUCUAUUUUCUAUCUACAUGUAUGAGUUUGAAUGUCCCUUUGAUAUCUUUCGCCCCUCUUUUGGUAAAAAAUAAAUUGUCAGUGAUAUUGUAAAACUAGGUUAAGAACUUCUAUAGGUCACUAAAAUCAUCUACAUUGUACAUGUCAUAUCUCUAAACUAAAAAAAAAUUAAACUAAACAAUUGCCUUUGGGAGCAUGUACCUAUUUGUCAAUUUUGCAGGUUUAUUUCCUUAUGACAUGAAAUAUAUGAAUUAUUACCUUAUUGCAAGAAAGUGUGUCAUCAGAUACUUUGUACGUCGUGACUGCCAUUUGCUUAAAUUUUCGGGACUUUUUUUUCUGUAAUGACUAAUAUAAAAAAGAAGAUGUGGUGUGAUUGCCACAAGAGACCAAAACGGCACAGUUCUGUGGUUUAGUAUGCUGUUACCAAAUACAUAAUCUUUGGAACAGCAAUGAUCGAAGACUCAAACCUGGUCACAAAUAGCCAGAUGCUGAUUAAGGGGAGGGGUAGAGGGUCCGGGCCCCUUAUCGAGCUAUAAUAAAGAUGAAUGCAUAGACUUUUUACGUUGACUAGUUUGCUCCUCCGCUUUUACAAAAUCUUGGAUCGGAUAGAUAGUACAAGCUAUAGUAUGUUUCCAUUGAAUGUAAGUAAUUUUAAAAGUAGGAACUGAAGUAAACUUUUUUGUCUUCAGCAUAACGAGACUCUGUAGCGUUUCAAACAUAAGCUCUAAUGAGCUUUCUAUCCCAGUAUAAAAACAUAAUUAUAUGGUUACACCUAAAACAAGCAUUCCAACAUGCAUGUAUGCAAAUAUUUAAUUGGCUAUAUAACCCAUGUAAUACUUUAUACCAAAUUAUCCCCGAGAAUGAUAAUAACAUAGUAUUUGACUACAGUACAACAUGAAAUAACCCGCUUAUAGAUAGAUUGAUUGACUUUUAAUUGCUUUACGUCCAGUGGAAAAUAGUUCGUAUUUAUUCAGGACGAGUUGUAUAGUGUUGAUUGGUUUCUUUACGUCCAGUGGCGAAUACUUCAUACAUAUCUAGGACAAGGUGUAUGAUUUUGAUUGGUUGUUGUUUGCUUUUUGUCCAGUAGCAAAUAUUUCAUAUUUAUUCAGAACGAGGAGUUUAUUGUUGAUUAAUUGUUGGUUUCUUUACGUCCAAUGGCAAAUUUUUCAUACACAUUCAGGACGAGAUGUAUGCUAUGGAUCGGUUGGUGUUUUGCUUUAUGUCCAGUGACAAAUAUUUUAUAAACAUUCAGGACGAGGUGUGUAUAGUUGAUUAGUUGUUUGGUCUGUACGUCCAAUGGCAAAUAUUUCAUACAUAUUCAGGACGAGAUGUAUGCUAUUGUUUGGUUGUUGGUUAUUCUACGUCCAAUGGCAAAUAUUUCAUAAGUAUUCAUGAACAGGUGUGUGCUAUAAGUUAAUUGUUGGUUUUGUUACGUUCAGUGACAAAUAGUUCAUAAAAUAUUCAGGACGAGGAGUAUAUUAAUGGUUGGUUGUUGGUUUCCUCCCGUCAAAAAAAUCAUAAUAUUCAGAACGGUUGUAUGAUAGUCAUUGGUUGUUUAUUCAUUUACAACCAGUUGCAAAUAGUUCAUAUAUAUUCAGGACAAGAUGUGUGCUACUGAUUGGUUGCUGUUUGUUUUAUGUCCAUUGGCCAAUAUUUCAUUAAUGUUCAGGGCCAUGUGUAUGAUAUCAAAUGAUUAUUGGUUUCUUUAAGUCCAGAAGCAAUAGCUCAUACAUAUUCAGAAGAAUUGAUUGCUAUUGAUUGGUUGUCGGUUUCUUUAAAAUCAGUGGCAAAUAUUUCAUACAUAUUUAUGACAAGGUGUUAGCUAUUGAUUGCUUGUUGUUUCUUUAUGUCCAGUGGCAAAUACAUCAUACACAUUCAGGACGAGGUGUAUCUUGUUGAUUGUUUGUGGGUUUCUGUAUAUCCUUAGCAAAUAGUUCAUACAUUUUAAGGUAAGCUAUCAAUUUCUUGUUGGUUUCUUUACGUCUAGUGACAAAUAUUUCAUACAUUUCUAGGACAAGGUGUAUGAUAUUGAUUGUUUGUUGUUUUCUUGGCGUUCAGUGGCAUAUAGUAUUUACAUAUUCAGGAUGACGUGCAUACUACCAAUUAUUUGUUGGUUUCGUUACGUCCAGUGACAAACAUUUCAUAUAUAUUCAGGACAAUGUGUAUGAUAUUGACUGUUUGUUGUUUUCUUUACCUCCAAUGGCAAAUAUGUCAUAUAUAUUAUAUUAAGGACAAGGGUUUAUGCUAUUGAUUUUUUUUUUUUUUUUAUUUCUUGGCGUUCAGUGGCAACUAGUUCAUAUAUAUAUUUAGGACGGGGUAUAUACUAUUGAUUGGUUGUAGAUUAGUUUGCGUUCAGUGGCAAUUAUUUCAUAUAUUUUCAGGACGGGGUAUGUAUUAUUGAUAGGUUGUAGAUUGUUUGCCUUCAGUGGCAAUUAUUUCAUAUAUUUUCAGGACGGGGUAUAAACUAUUGAUAGGUUGGAGGUUCCUUCACGUCCAGUGGAAAAUAUUCGAUACAUAUUCAGAUCGAGGUGUUUGUAGUUAAUUGUUGUUGGUUAUCUUACAUACAGUGGCAAAUAUUACAAACAUAUUCAGGACGAGAUGUAUGCCAUUGAUUCGUUGUUGGGUUUCUUUAUGUCCAGUCGCUGAUAUUUCAAUCCAUUAUAGGGACGUAGAGUUAAAUAGAAAACUCGUGUUGCAGUACAAUUAAGCAUCAGGAAGAUACUUGUGGUCUACUUGAAGAAAUUACGUUUGAAAUUGUCGGUUAUUCUAUUUUGCCAACCCCCCCCCACCUUUUUCCCUAUUAUCACCUGUGUUAAGUAGCUGUCACUCAAAAUAACAUGAUUGACAUCAACAAAGCUUUUAAAUAUCAUAUAAUAUAAUCUAUAUAAUUAAAACAAUAAAUAUCUGACAGUUAUUUUAGUAGGGUGAACGUGUCGUUGAACCUCCAUACUGAUUACGUUUGUAUAUAUCUUGUUAGUGCGUUGAACUAUAUUUUCAAAUGCGUGAAAUGAGUUGUACCUAACAUCAUAAUUGCUUAACUGCAUGUUAUUAAACUACAUGACAUUUGAACUAAUUGUUAAUGAUAUUAAUACAGUGAAACCUGGCUAAACCGAAUCCUGCUUAAACCGAAAACCUGUAUAAACCAAACAUGUUAUAAAGCCGUCAUAUCAAAUUGUACGCGUUGUGAACCUGAUAAAACCGAACAUCAGCCAAAACCGAACACAACUCUUAAGUCCCGAAAGAGUUCGGUUUAAACAGGUUUCACAGUAUACCCAAUUAUUAUGAUGUCAAUUGGAUAAUAUGACUCUACUGUGCAACAAUAACAUUUAAAAUUGCAUUAUUAAUUGAUAUAUUGAAGUAUGUUCGAUUGUUUGAUUGUUGACGUUUAACGCCACUUUCAUCCCUAUUGGCUACAUGUAUAUGUUCGAUUGAUCAAUUGUUUUAUUCCACUGUCGUCCCGAUCCGUUUGUAUUGGAAACAGAAGCCGGAGUGCCCAGAGAAAAACACCGACCUUCGGCAGAAAAGCUAAUAAUCACGAUUAACAAAACGUUAAGUCGAACGCCCCUGUCAUACGCAUGAUUCGGACUCACAACAUCAGUGCUGACAGGCUAGAGAUACAGUAUGUUUGAUUGCGACAUGUUACUGCCAUAUACAUUGUACAUAUACUGGAUGAGCGUUGUUAAUGCUUUUAACCCAACUUGGCCUUAUGAUUGAAAAAAAUCUCAUGUCUUAUGAAAAAAAAAAUUAUAGUACAACUUAUGACAAGUAGACAAUUAAUAAUCGGUAUAACACUUUAUUUGUUUAUUUACAUAUAAACAUAAUAAAUACUUACAUUUGUGAGGCCCACUAUGCGUUUUUGUUUUUUGUUUAUUGAAAUGGGCAUUUAGCAUAGGAUUUUAAAAUCUCGCUGUAUUUUAACUUGAUCUAAGUUUAAUUAAUUUCUUGGGCUUGGAUAUAUUAUCCAUCUCAAACUUUGAUGAGAUAUCGAAUCGGUACGAACAAAUUCAAAAGCCAGGUAUAUCUUUUGCCUGUUUCUGUACUUGUUAAACUGUAACGAAGAAAAAGUCAAACAUUACUUGAAGAUGACAUCUUUUAGCCCCUCAGUUUUGAUUGAUUUUUAUAGUAUGCGAUGUCUACUUUGUAAUGUAUAUAUUUAACGAAACAAGGUCUGUAGGGCAAUGUAUAUCUAAUGUUGUAUUAAAUAUUCAUAUUUAACAAAGAAAAUAUGUAAAAAUAUAAUUGUAUUCCAAAGGUUUCCCCUGUUGCUCAACCUAAAAAUCCGACAUGCGUACUGGCGCCUUGUUUUCGAUAUACAGUGAAACCUGGCUAAACCGAAUCCUGCUUAAACCGAAAACCUGUAUAAACCAAACAUGUUUUAAAGCACCGUCAUAUCAAAUUCUAAUGCAACAACGUUUGUAACGUUCAUUUUGAUUGGAUAACGUCACUUUCUUACAUGGCAUCAAUUGACAAUUGAUGCUAUGGGACGUACGCGCAAGCGCAGACGGCAUAUGACAGAUUUUAAACAUGUUUUAACGUUGUUUCUGUCAGUUUCAUUAGAAUGGAGAUAACAAUAUUGUAUUUUAAGCUCCGACGGCAUCAAUUUGGGAUUUGAUGGUCGCAAAUACCCGUUUACUGUCUCCGCUAACGCGUCGCCAGUAAACUUAAUUUGCGACCAUCAAAUCCCCAAUUGAUGCCGUCGGAGGUUAAAAUACAAUACAGUUAUCUCCUAAUUGUAUGUGUUGUGAACCUGGUAAAACCGAACAUCAGCCAAAAUCUAACAAAAUCUUAAGUCACGAAGAGGUUCGGUUUAAACAGGUUUCACUGUACAUGUAAAAACAUGUACAUAUGUAGGUUAAUGAGUGCAUGUAGCAAUAGCAUUAAAAAACAGACUUACAGAUUUGUUCUUCUUGGAGACAUGAUUUUUUUUUAAUGAUUAUUAUCCAUUUUUUUAAAUAGCUUUCAGGGACUACGAGUACUCUAAAAUCGAUACUUUAUGCCUUAAAAGUCCAUUUGUUAGUUGUUAUGUAUCGAUCUGACGAGUGAAGCCGUUUUCAAAUGCUUUUUUAUUUAAGUCUGUUCUUAUGUUGUGCUAUUAAACCACCGUCUCUUAGGUCAUGAACGGGUUAGGCACCCAUAAACUAAUUUAACCCUGCCAUAAUAUGUGUGUGUGUGUCCUAUGUUAAGAUUCAGUGGCUGGCUUUAGUUGCUGGAUACCUUACUUGUUCUUCGAUGAUCAAUUUGUACAUAAAUCAGACAUCUAGCUUUCUCGUUUGAAUUUUUGUACAUUGUCAUGUAUGGCCAAUACCAAAAAAAGUUUUCUUUUAACAAACUCUCAGAUGUUAAGUUAAUUACAUCAAUUUUUGGAUCCUAGCCUUUCAAAGGGACUGAACAGUACUAUACACCCAUAGGGCUAUGCAGUUACUGACGCCAACCACGGAAGGGACUGUUAAAGAAUUAACAUUAAAGCAUAAAAUCACAAUUUCCAGACGAUUCUACGUAGCAAUUUUUAACUGUGUAUUACAAUUUGAGUAUACAGCCUUUCAGUUUAAAAAUGACAACAGUUAUCAAGAGCAGAUAACUGAUCGUUUCAAAUUGACAAGUUAUCAAGUGCAGACAAAUCUGUAAUUUCAAAUGUAUUUGAUGUAUGAGGUUAGGAGGAAAUGUGUUACGGCAAUUUAACAUAAUUGAUACUUAGUCAAUGUUGUUAAACAGUCUUUAAAUUAGAACUUUUAGAGAAUAAGUUUAAUUGCAAAAUUUAUUUGGGUGAUGCAGCUCUUAUAUUUUCUUGAGGUAGCUCUUUGACAACACUAAGGAAAUGUUAAACGACUUGAUAUAAGGAAAUUAUAUUCGAUAAAGAGACAUUGGAAAUAUGUUACGGAUACAAGGUUGGAAUAGCCAGUUACAUAACUACAGUGAAACCUGGCUAAACCGAAUCCUGCUUAAACCGAAAACCUGUAUAAACCAAACAUGUUCUAAAGCACCGUCAUAUCAAAUUGUAUGUGUUGUGAACCUGGUAAAACCGAACAACAGCCAAAACCGAACACAAUCUUAAGUCCCGAAGAGGUUCGGUUUAAACAGGUUUCACUGUAUUAAGACUUUUGAAGUUCCUUUUUUACAUAACAAUCAGGAUACAAAGUUUGUUUUAAGUCUAAGAAAAUUAAGUCAUUAAGUAUAUAUUCCCUUCAAUUGUCUUAGUAAUUAUGAAAUUGAGACUGUAAACGUGGAAUGUGGAAAAGAGACAACAACCCGACAAAAGAUGGUACAGAAAACAGCCAAAGGGUCUUCAAUACAGCGAGGAAAUCCCGCAUCCGGAGGCGUGUUUCAUGCAGUUGGCCCCUAAACAUUAAUGUGUACUAGAUCGGUGAUAAUGGACGUCAUGCUAAACUCCGAAAUAUAUAUAAGAAACUAAAAUCAAAUUAUACAAGGCUAACAACGCAAGAGGUUCAAGACUUUGGACAGGCGCAAAUAGCGGCGGGGUUAAACGAAUUAUUGUUAAUCUCAACCCUACCCAUUUACUUCUAGCCAAUGUAGAAAGAAGAAAACACGAAGCAAUACGCCAAGUAACACUCAGUUUAAAAGUAGUCCGAGUCCGAUGUCAGAAUAGGUAACAAAAGAAACAAAGCAAAAUGACAAUUGUCUGUCUGUCAUCCAUGGAAUCUCGAUCACCCUGCAAUAUCAUCAUGUACGCAUGUCGAUUGACAUUGGAUUUAACGUUACUUAAUUAAGCGGAUGUUUAUGGACUUCCCCAGUUUGAACUAAAUUUUGAGUUCGGAAUUUUUGUUGACUAUUUUUUUUUUUAAUUGGCAUAUUAAAUUUGCUCGAGUUCACAAAAAGCGGCACAAUUCAAGAACAAUGAUGUAAAUGAACAUGUUGAUUAUUACGAAAAAUGGUGGCAGAAUAUCACCCUGCCGUCUUUGUCGCGUCUCCAUCUAGUAAAGGUAGUGAUACAAUAUCAAAACAAAGUAUGAAAAGUCUUUAAAUAUUUUUUCAAACUACAAGAUGUGCUAAAGAUAUAAAUAAAUAUAUGAUUUAAAAUUACUUGUGAUAAACGGUAAUAAAAUAAAAACCUAGUAAUCUUUUAAUGGUGUGCUUCUGUUCAGUUUACGUGACUGACCAAUUAAGUGACCAUAAUGUUAUAUGUUUUCUGUGAAAAUAACAGUUAGUCUGGCGCCUGUUAUAAUGUCCCGCACAUGUGUAAUGGUCAGAUAACAUUAUCGUAUCAUGUAAAACAUUAUUAUAGAACAAAAUCGCCAAUUCGGACAAUAUCCGGUACAAUCAUAACAAAAAUAAUUGUCGUGCAUGUUAAGAAAUAUACAACCCAUAUGCUAGAGGUCAUUUAAUUGUUUUAACCUGGUUCAAGGUCAAUACAUACUUAAUUUAGAAAGUGGUUUUGCUCUCGGCAGCUAGGAGGCCUUCAUGGCUUCUUUUAGUUGUGUUUUUAAUAAAUAUUAAAUAUUGAAACGAAUAGGUUAAACCAUCGGAGAGCCUUGCAUUUUUAGAUUUGAAAGGAGUGAAUACAUAUCGACCGUAGCACACUUGAUGCAGUGGUAGAAUCUAUAUUUAUCAAAACGGCAUUCAUGUCUACUCAUUAGAUAUUUCCCAACUUAAAUUUACUUUAGAUUUUUUUGAUUUAAAAAUUUGAUUAAUCGUAUUUCAUUUUUUUUUGGCUGCAAAUGUUACUUUAAAAUUUUAAUUUUUCAAAACGAGUGGCGCAAACCUGUUGACUUGAGGUGUUUAGUUAUAAAAUUAUUACGUUUUAUUUUGAAAAUACAAAUUAGUUUUUUUAUUAGAAACCAGUAGUACUAUCUACAAAACCCUCUAUUUCUAUUCAAUGUAUAGCUUUGUAAGAGAUGAGACGUUAAUAAAAUAUUGUAUUGUAUUCAAUACGUUAUUGAUUAAUAUGGCAGGCAAGAUAUCACGCGUUUAUUUACAGUGGUGGAUCCAUGGCUAGGGAAAAGGGGGGUUCGGGGGUUGGAACCCCCUGUGUUUUGGACGAUCAAUGGGUUGGGAACCCUCCUUUUUUAAAUGGCUGGAUCCUCCCCUGAUUCAUAACCUCAGAAAGUAAAAGAGGACAAGAGGUGAAUAUCAUUCCCCGUUUUUGUUAGAGUUGGUGUUGCUAAGUCUUCAUACAGUGAAACCUAGCUAAACCGAAUCCUGCUUAAACCGAAAACCUGUAUCAACCAAACAUUUUCUAAAUCACCGUCAUAUCAAAUUGUAUGCGUUGUGAACCUGAUAAAACCGAACAUCGACCAAAACCAAACACAAUCUUAAGUUCCGAAGAGGUUCGGUUUAAACAGGUUUCACUGUAUUUUUAUGUAGUGUUCUGUGGACUGGUGUUUUGUCUCUCAGUUGAUUUCUCCUAAACUCGGUUUUGAAUUGUCCCGACUGUCAUACAAGUGAGAGGUUUAGCUAGCUAUAAAAUAAGAUUAAAUCCACCAUUUAUAUUACUACAUGAGAAAAUACCUGUUCCGAGUCGGGAAUGUGAGAGCUGUUAUCCAUUCGCUUGAUGUGGUUGAGCUUUUGACUUUGCCAUUUGAUUAGGGACUUUGCGUUUUGAAUUUUCCACGGAGUUCAGUAUUAAUGUGUUUUUUUUUAAUAUAUAUUUUCCUAUUAAGUAACAUAACCACUUUAUAAAAUACAAUGAAGCGUUUAAACAGACUAUUACUAGUGUAAUAUUUUUACAACACUUUACUUGUAAUGAAUAAAAUUAAACUUGACUUAUCUCCCUUUGAUUAUAACAGAAAAUAUUAACUUUAAUACGCCCAUAUAUAUUAUUAUCAUCGUCCCUUGGUAGUUUUUGUGAUUAAAGACACAUACAAUGUACCCACUAAAUUGCCAAUUUAUUAAACGCACUUUCUCAAGUUGGUAGUGUGCCUUAGAAGGAGAUAAUAUAUUUACAAAUGACUUUUUAUGAGGGUCUUUCUAUGGGGUUUUGAAUUCAUUUCUACUAGAACACACCCGCGAAAUCGCGGGCAUAAACAGCUUGUUAACUGUUGUAGGAUGAAUUUUUGUAAAAGAUAGUAUGACCGGAGAAUUUCAUAUAAGGUUUCAAAAAGCCCUCUCUCUUUUUUCCAAAGUCCGUUAUGCUUUUCCUUUCUGUUAGAUUCAAUUAUUUUCCGUGUUUCUGGCCUUAUACCACAAUCAUUCUUCCCCUUUGCUACAAUGCAUUUGUUGGUAAAAGUCAAAUUAAAUUAAAAAAAAAUUGCACUGCUUCAAACAUGAAAUAAAUGAAACUGCUUAUAGACCAUUAUUAUUCUAAUAAAAUAUGCUUCUAGGACAAUCCAUCAGUGCUUUUCCUUUUGAGAGCCCUAUUAACAUGCCAAUGGUAGGAUUUGAAUCUCUAAGUGACUAAGGCUCAUUAGAGGGGUGGUCUGAGGGCCCUGAUCCCGAGGCUUAAAAACAUGAAAUCCCGAGGUGCGUAUUUUAACGAAAUUCAUAUCCCGAAAUUAAAAAAAAAAUAUUCACUCAUCCCGUAAAGAUCAAUCCCGAAAUCCCGAGCUUAAAAACACCCGAUCCGGAAGUCCCGAGUAAGUCCUGCCUCCCUCUAAUCUCUACCCUACUUUCAUUUUGGCCAAAUCACUACUUUCACUUUUAACAAUAAAUUUGUAUGCCCCAUUUAUGGAAAUUACAUAUAUACUGUCUAGUCUGUUCGUCCGUUCGUUCGUUCGUCCGUCCGUCCUUCUGUCCGGCUUCAGGUUAAAGUUUUCACUUUCAACAAUAAAUUGUUAUGCACUAUUUAUGGGAAUUAUGUUUUGUAGUAUGUUCGUCCGCCCGUCCGUUCGUCCGUCCGUCUGUGCCGCUUCAGGUUAAAGUUUUUGUCGAGGUAGUUUUUGAUGAAGUUGAAGUCCAAUCAACUCAUAUGUUCCCUAUUUCAAUGCCAAAUUAGAGAUUUUACCCCUUUUCACGGUCCAAUAAUCAUAGUAAAUGAUAGUACCCAUGUGGCAUCCGUAUACUAUGGACACAUUCUUGUUUCCACAUGUUUUACUUAUUUCAAUAUAGAUGCAACUGGUAUGACCCCUUAGAUGUAUACUAUGGACACAUUCUUGUUUCCACAUGUUUGACUUAUUUCAAUACAUGUUUUACUAAUUUCAAUAUAUAUGCAACUGGUAUGACCCCUUAGAUGUAUACUAUGGACACAUUCUUGUUUCCACAUGUUUUACUUAUUUCAAUAUAUAUGCAACUGGUAUGACACCUUAGAUAGUAAAUAAUUCAGAAAAAAAGUAGACAUAAUACAGAGAGUCUCUGUAUAUUAUAGUAGUAUAAUCCUAGUUGACAGGUGGAUAAACGCGAAAACAUAGUUGUCUCUAAGGAGGUAUAAUAGUUGUGGUUCUUGCGAUUUAAAAACCAUGAUAUGGAGAACGCUCUGAUUGGUUUUAUUUAUUUUUCAUUUUUGUAAUCUAUCAUACGAUUUGUUGUUCAUGUGCAUGUUUAAAACCGGAAGUCUUAUCUAUAACUAAAAGUCAGUCUGAUAACGGACACCAUAUCCGGACACCUAUUUUAUCGUUUUUCUCCCAAAAUAACUCAAUCUAAAUAAUCAUAAGAAUGGAUGACAAAUGCGACUAUGCAUGUUACCUAAAGAACACAGAGGAACGAUGAUUCAUUAUUGAUUGAAGGAAGAGAAGCGACACACAAAAUGAGGUCUUCUCGUUUAAUAGUAUAGAUAAUAUAGGCUAUGCCUGUGUCAUGCCUGGGUCGUUCCUUACACUUGGGACAACAUAUUUAACGAUUGUGAAUGACAAAAAUGAUUGUGUGUGUUUAUUUUCACACGGCCUUACACUUGAGACAACGAAAAUUGCUUGCAUGAAUCUUAAAUAAAACAUGAUAAUAUAGGCUAUGUAAUGUAAAUUUACCAAACUUCUGGAAAUAUAAACGGAAGAGGAAGUUGUCUAUGAAUAAAAGCCGGGGUGAUGACGGACACAUAUCCUGACUUCUUUUUUUCCGUUUUUCUCCCAAAAUAACCGAAACUGAAUAAUCAUAAGAAGGGAUGACAAAUGCGACUAUGCAUGGUACCUAUAGGACAUACAGUCACAAUGAUCAAUUUAUUGUGGAAGGAGGAGAAGCGACACCCAAAAUGAGGUCUUCUCGUUUAAUAGUAUAGAUAUUCUGUAAUUAAGUUUCUCUUUAUUUUUCCCCAUUAUAUCGUCUAUAAUUGAUUAUAUUACCUAUUUUUUUUUUUUGUUCUAUUUUUUUCGCCAGAUAGUCUCAAUUGGUAAUUGAAUUUCACAGAUGAUAUCGGAUAUGUUCCUUAUAUCGUAACUACAAUCCCGUUCCCUUUUCACAAAUAUGAACUACUGAUUUAGACUAUUUACCGGGUUUGUAAUAUAUGAGCAACACGACGGUGUGUCACAUGUUGAACAGGAUCUACGAUCCAAUUCGUAGCACCUGAGAUCAUCCACAGCUUUUCGUGGGGUUCGUGUUGCUUAGUUUUCUAUAUAUAUAUAUAUGGUCUAUAUUUUGUACUUAUAUUUGUAAUUUUUGUCUUUUUCUUUUUGAGCCAUGGCGUUGUCAGUUUGUUUUUGAUCUAUGAGUUUGAAUGUCACUCUGGUAUCUUUCGUCUCUCUUUUUUACCCCCUUUCGACCUCUUGUAAGGACUAUAAUUAUAAAAUGUCUAUGUCAUUACAUCAUGUCUCAUCACUUUACCAGUGCAUAUCCUGAUAACGUAACUUCAGGUAAAAUGGUGAAUUAAAUUAUAUUUUAUUGCUGCUAUUUUUAUGAAUUGUAUAUUGGAAAUCAAAACUAGCACACAUUAUAUGUCUAAUAUCCCCCAGUAAAAUAAAAUUGGUUCAUAACGUCCGAGAUUUAUAUGCACAAUUACAAAUACAUUCCAUUUUGCCAAUUGUAUUCUGUUCUUGAAGGAGGUCCUUCUUUUCGGAAUUCUUUAAUUUUUUUAAAAGUCAUUGUUCGCUUUUCUUUAUACUUUUUGCCCAUUAUUAUCAUUUUUUUUUAUAUAUUUUGGAACCCUAUUAUUCUCUUUUUUUUUCUUUCUAUUCUUUAUUUUUUGUCAUUACUUCAGCAUAUUUUAUCAAUCAGUCGUUAUUCUGUCUCUGUGUAUGCUAUUCAUUCACAACAGAACAUUUAUUAAUCUGCCAGAUACGGAAAGAAUGGAAAAAAAAUUUCACAAGAAAAAUAAAGGUGUCAGAAAAGAUAAAUAAGACAUUGUCAUGAUAUGAAAAGCUUUAUUUUAAUCAACUUUUUAAUUCAUCUUACCUCAUGUUUUUCUGAAUGAAAAUAGUGAAGUUUUGUCAAUAAUCGAUGAGUAUGUAUAGACUUUAUCAAACUAUUAAUUUUACUUAAAUCGACUUCUUUUUCAACUCUAUCAAUUCAUCAGCACCAGAGACAGGGCAAUAUUAAAAAUAUUGAUUGAAUAUAGUUUUCAUCAAUUGUCGUUGUUCGUUUUUGUGCAAGAUUAGUUUUUACUUGAACCAGUCAGCAAAUGAAAGGAAAAUAUUGAAAAUCCUAAAAUUGCAACAUAAAGACAUGUAUACAUACAACAGUUGUCAUUUGUUUAUGUAAUUUAUAAGUGUUUCUCGUUUCUUUAUUUUAUAUAGAUUAGACCGUUGGUUUUCCCGUUUGAAUGGUUUUACACUAGUAAUUUUGGGGAAUCAUUGUUCGGUGUGAGCCAAGGCUCCGUGUUGAAGGCCGUUCAUUGACCUAUACUGGUUUACUUUUUUUAAAUUGUUAUUUGGAUGGAGAGUUGUCUCAUUGGCACUCACACCACAUUUUCUACAUACAUUGUAUAUUACUAGUAGUCAAAGUUAUUUGCAGAUAAAGACGUAUGGUAGCAAUUUUAGUGCAACUAUACUCCGACGCACGUUUCCGUCAGCUGGUACUUUUGAAUGAUUUAUUUUCGUAGGUACCAAUUUUCGUUGAUUGGAGAAAGCUUGCAUAUUUUGUGGAUAUUUAAUUUCGUGAUUUUGACAAAGUCUGCAAGAAUUCCUACAGAAAUAUGUCAGUAUUUGUUGAAAAUUUCACUUUGAGGUUCGGAAUCCCCUGCAUCCACGAUAUCAGCAAUAAUUUAUAACCAACGAAAAUUAAUGAAUCCAUGUACUUUACAUCUAUCAUACACUCAGGCUUCUGAUUGAGAAAGACGCAUACAAAAUGAGGCAGGGUUGAAAUUGUUAGCCCGACCUUAUCCCUGGAACAGUGAUACAACCUCACAAUACAAGAGCAAACCGUGCCUAUACAAAACAAUAUAAACGAAAAACAAAUAUGACAACAGCCACUUUGGACAGGUUUUUUUCCUUUCGUCUUAUUAUGUUUCGAUAUAAUGUUGUAUGUCUGUGGGUCAUUCUAAUGCCAAAGCAAGUAACGGAGGGACAAACCAUUUGAAAUAAACUCAUCAUAGAUACCAGGACUAAAUUUUAUAUAAACGCCAGACGCGCGUUUCGUCUACAAAAGACUCACUCAUCAGUGACGCUCAAAUCCAAAAAAGUUAAAAAGGCCAAAUAAAGUACGAAGUUGGAGAGCAUUGAGGACCAAAAUUCCUUAAAGUUUUGCCAAAUUCCAGCUAAGGUAAUCUAUGUCUGAGGUAGAAAAUCCUUAGUAUUUCAAAAAUUCUAAAUUUUGUAAACAGCUAAUUUAUAAAUAAUAAUACAUGUCAAUGAUAAUUCAUGUCGGCAAUUAACAUUGUGAAUAUUUCAAUAACAGGAAGAUACGCGUGCUUGUAUGAAUUCUUGUAGUGCGCAAGUUUGAAAAAAGUAAAACUGUUUUUUUUUGUAGUAGUGUAGCGUGUUUAAAAUGAGUUGCAUUUUAUACGUUUCUGAUUAUCUAAGCUAUGUCAUGGGCGUCAUGUUUUAGAGCUUGUUAAUGAACCGGAAUGGUAUAAAAACAUUCUAAUGAAGCAGACUGAUUAACACUAAUUACAAAUGCCGAUACGUAAUGGCUAUGCACAUGUUCUUAAUUUACAGGAGAAAAAAUAAUGAUGAAAACUUGUUUACAACAUUUUUCUCUUUUUUUUUUCUGUUUUGAAGGAAUUAACUUCAAGGUACAUAUUUAACCAGCUUUUCACAAAAAACUGUAUUCGCUAAAAACAUUUUUCUCUUUUUUACUGUUUUGAAGGAAUUAACUUUAAGGUACAUAUUUUACAAAGUUUUUCACAAAACACUCAGUAUUCGGCAUUCUGACAUUAUGCUAUUAGGGAACGACCAUCUCACUACCAGGUGGGUUAUGGGUUUUUUUCUUAAAAAAAUAGUUAUCCCAAAUCUGAUGAAGCUGGUCAAGCAGAUGACCAAACCAAAUAUUCUGAAUGCGAAUUCCCCCACACGGACCGAGAACACAGUUAUUUCGUAGUGAAUUUCUUAUAGACAAUAAAUAAACAUAAAAAAAUCCCACUUGCGCUUUCUCAAUAAUAUUUGUACAGUGUGUUGUACUAAUGUUGGGACAAAUAUAUCAUAACAAUAGAAAACUUCAUCCGCUCUAACUCAAAAUAUGGACAAUUUUAUGCUAAUGGGUUCUUGAAAUCUUUGGACAGCUUCCGAAGUGCUAAUUUCUAACCUUUCCCUUACAGAAUUGAAAUGUUUGCAGCAGGUCUGCAGCAGACUUGAUGCAAACAAAAAGCUUACAGGAACCCUUUGAAUAAUGUUUGCAGUUGUUUUCAGCUAGCUGCGAACCUUCUGCAAACAUUACCGCUUAUUGUAAAACAAUUUACAGUCAUUCCUUAAUGAUGUCGUGACCUUGGGCUGUAAUACAAUGACGUGUUGACCUUAGUCUGGGACACAAUGGUGGUGUUAGUCGACCUUACACGCUGUCUUAUAGUAAUGUUUCUUCCUUGUCCAAUGUUUUUUAAUUAUCUUUUGUAAUAAUUAGAUUACAUUCAUGUUAUAUUAAUCCUUUGAGGAAGAAAAGAUGUUUUUAAAUCAAAUUAGAAAAGGUCAUAAUUAAAACUUAUCGGCAAUGCAGAGAAAAAUCACAAGGAAGGAAAACAACACCGGUGUCAUAUGAUAUCGUUGCAAAGAAAAUCAACCUCGCUAGUUCUGGAAGCAAUUAUCCCAAUUUAAUGUAUAUACCCAGACAACAUGAGUAUGUUGGCCCAACAUUGGCACAACGUAUAUCAUUGCAUUGGCCCAUCGUUGUAUUUUAACGUUGGCCCAACGUAUAAGUGCAAAGUGGGCCUACGUUGGCCCAACAUGAUGGCUUCAUGUUGGCCCAACGUUGUACGGUUAUAUGCAAUACAUAGAGCCAACGUUGGCCCAUUGUAUGAAAAACGAAAUCCAUGUUGGCACAACGUUGGACCAACGUAGCGAUAUAUUUUCUUAUGUUGGCACUAUGUUGGUCCAAGGUAGGUAUUUCUCAUUUUUAUGUUGGCAAUACGUUGGUAUAUUGUUUCAACCAAAUUACAAUGGAUGCUGCAUAAGAGCUGUAUAUGAUAAAUACUCCGGAGCGCAUUUGAUCUUUUUUUGUAUUCCAAACUGCCAAAGUUUAAGGUAGCAAUUCUGUAUUUUUGUAUUACCCAUUGUUGUUACUGUCCUUGUUUUUUUCAUGAACUUUGCCUCUUUAAUUUUAUUUUAUUGUGUGACGCUAAAUAAUAUUCUUUGACAAUGUUGAUGGAUCGACCAGAUAAACUCUGUGUCAUUUGGUGUCUUGUAAAGACUUGUCUCAUUAGCAAUCAUACCACAUCUUCUUUUUUCAUAUAAAUUUCAUUUAUUUCUUUAACAGAACAAAUGACGUAUGGCUUAUGGUUAGGCGAUCAUACAAAUAGUUUUUUCGGAGAUGACAUUUCUAUGUGUAUUGGUUCCAGAUCCAGAAUGAAAAUUAAAUAAUUCAGAAGAUGAAACUUUAUUUAUUUUAAAUUUGAUAUCAUUUGGUCGUCACCACGAGUAGUGUCCUCCUCAAUUUGAACUUCAACAGUGUCAUUAUUACUUAUAUAUGUUAUUCUUUUUUUCCCUUCUCUGUUUCUUGUCACCUUCUCUGUCAAGGCUUAAGCGCCGCCAAUCUUUAGCUGCAUCAUCUAUCUCCUUAUCCGAAGACUAUUUACAGCUAUGGUUUUUUUUUCUAACCGACUCUGUAAUAAAGUUAUAAGUAAACUUGAAAUUGCGUAUUUGUCUAAUGCAUGCGUGCGUAAUCUCCCUUCUAGAUAUGUAAUAUAAAUUAAUGUAUAUUCUAAAUAGUUUAAACACUAUUUAAUACAAAAUCAAAUCUUAAAUAACCAUUUUUUUUAUAUUGGUUAUUUGUCUAAUGGUCAGAAAUUCAUUAGUAUUAGACGGAUUUGUGGGUAAUAACAAACCCUUAUUACUUUUAUUUCAGAAUUCGGUAUCAUACUUUAUAUAUUCGUAAUAUGCAUGAUAUAUAAAGAAUAAUUUAGAUGUGUAUUAAUGAACAAUUAUAUAUUUGAUAUAUAAAAACACUGUUACACAUUCAAGUGUGUAUAUGAUCAGGUUUCACAAAUAUAUCGUAUCUGUUUGCAUGCGAUUUAGAAAUACAAUAAAAACUAACAAAUUCAUUUAUAUUUUAAUGAAGUAGAAUCAUUAAUACCACAUUUUUGAAAACAUUACGGAAUAAGGUACAUCUUAAGACAAUUUUAUUCCAUUAACUUCAGUAAUGAUCAUACAUGUUGUGGUUAUAGAUUUAUAUAAUUUACCAUUUGUUUGAAGAUACUAAUGUUCAGUGGCAAAUAUUUCAUGAUAAUUAAUAGGAUUGAAAUGAUUUAAAAUCUAGAAAAUAUUUCGCCCAAAACGUAGGAACUUUAAGAUCAGCAUAUAAAAUGAUAGAAAUUAAUAUAUGUUUUGAUAUUUAACAACAUCCCUCAAAUUAAAAAUAAUCAUAUUGUAUUUGUCAUUCUGAAUCGUAUAUAUAUAUAUCAGAUUUUUUUAAAGUUACAACUUACAUGUUACUAUCUUUCUCUUUGAAUCUCAGAUGACAUGAUUUUCUCUUUUUGUUUUCUUCGUAUCACUGCUUUCUUACAAAUACACAACAGGAAAUAAUCACAAAAGUGACCAUCCCAUUACAUUCAGAUUUCCUAUAAACUUAAUUACCAUCAUGAUAGCAACUAUCUUUGAUAUGGUCAACCUUAUCAGAAUGGGCUUGAUUAACAGACUGGCUGUAUCAAAUAUCACUCUGCAUAUAAUUGCUAUUAGUAUGUUUCACAAAGUUUAAUGAAUAAAGUUAUUAUAAAUAAUGAUUGCAAUAAAUUUUAAUUUUUAACCAGGCAAUCUAUGUUUACGGUAUACAUUUUUUUUAUGACAGUAAUGAUAUUCCAGUAUAAAUUUUAUCUGACGUAUAUAUAGAGUAAAUAUAUAAAGAUCACGCAACGUUGGGCCAGCAUUGCCCAACAUAGAGUUGUAAAAAUGUAAUUUCAGUUGAAUAAACACUUUCGUAUAACAUUAACUUUUCAUAAAGCCUGCUGCAAUCGAAAUUAUCCGCCUCCCAAGAGAAAUAAAGCGUAAAAUAUUAUAUAAUCAAUUCUAUUAACAAAAUGUCAUAUCGGCCCUAUGUUGCUACUAACAUAAUGCCAACAUUUGCCCGAUUAUUUAUAACCAACAUGAGAUAAUAAUAUGAAUUUACAACAACAGACCAACGUUUGGCCAAUGUUGUGCAGCCGACACCAACGUGCGACCAAUGUACCGACAAUUUGCCAACGUUGGGCCAAUGUUGUGCAGCCAACAUAAACUUGCGACCAACGGACCGACAAUUUGCCAACAUUGGGCCAAUGUUGUGCAGCCAACAUAAACUUGCGACCAACGGACCGACAAUUGCCAACGUUGGGCCAAUGUUGUGAAGCCAACACCAACGGUCGACCAACGGGCCGACCAUUUGCCAACGUUGGCCCACUGUUAGUCUGCUGACUGGGUAACACUUCUUAAUGAAUUCUUACAAACUAAUAUCGGGCACUGUACUUAUAAAUAUAGUUUAGAUAUAUAUUUGUAUUAUGAAAUGCAGGUCAAUUUUGAAUAUCGGGUAGUUCAGACUUUGAUAAAUAAAGAAAUGCAAGUCCAUAUUUUGAAAUUUACGACUUUUGACGCCGGAAUUUAUUUGUUUAUUCUAUACCCAUAUAAAAAGCUCACAUCAUUUCUUUUAUUUCAGUGAUACAUGUACCAUCUUCUACCAUUUCUCUUAUAUCAUGUACACCAUCUUAAACCAUUUCUGUUUUCUCAGGUUGAAAAUCUCAUUUAAUUUAUUUGUUCUCAUUUACUCCAACCUAUAGCAUUUGCCUCAUGUCAAGGACGCUACCUUAUUCCAUUUUCAAUUUCUAAAGCACACUAUCCCGUACAAUUUUUUUCAUAUUCAUUCCAACUUGUCAAAAACUUACAAUCGCAACUGUUACAAUAGUUGACUUACACUGAUACAUAUUCAUGAAAUAUUUGCCACUGUACUAAAAUGUGAACGUUAACGUAUUGAUAAAUGUCACUGUGUUUAAACGGCUGUGGGUAACUUAACUUAAGUUACCCACAGCCCAAGAUGGCGGACUCUAAACUUGUUGAUAUUUAAUUCAUACAAAAUGUACCUUUUGCGGCGUUUUUUAUGCAGAAUGUAAAUAUUUAUAGGAUUAUGGAAUAAAGAAAUAACUAACAAUUACCAUAAACUUGUUAAUAUAGAGUUCACUAAAGCGCAAGGCCAACUUUAAAAAAUACAUAAGACGUCCGUAACUUUUUGAUCGAAAUUAAGCAGACUGUCCGUAACUUUAUUUUCAGAUGUGGGUAACUUUUGAUUCAAAAUUUUAAGAAUUAUAAUUUCAACAAUUAGAAGACAAUUAACAUCAUAUUUGUAACCUUCACGGCCGUUUAUACUACUCAUUCACCUCCAAAUGUGAUUUUAUUAACGCAUCAUACUUACACCACAGAGGUUUUAUGUGGGGUUUGUGGUACUCGAUCAUGGUUAAUAUGGUUUGAACUUUUAUUAACUGAUGUGCGUCUUAUCGACGUUUUCGAUUCGCACCAUGGCUUUGUCAUACUCUUCAAUUUUGUUAGAUUAAUUAUCUGUUUGCGGUUUAUUUUCACCUCUGUUUCUUUUUAUCAUGUUUAUGUGUAUUUUAAUGAAUACUCUUUGACGCAGCUCGGUAUUUAUACACCACCAGUAAGUUAUAGUGUUAUCUUUUUUUGAAUACGUUUCCUAGUAUGUUUUUUUUUUCUCUUUGUAUGUUAUCAGGGAUUGUUAAACUAUUAAAUUACCCUGUUGUCUUAGUUAUUUAUAUUUUCAUAUAUUAUUUCUAAUUGUUACACUAUGUUGAUUGCUCUAUUCCUUUUAUGUCACUGAAUUUUAACUAUCGUGUCUUUUAGUUUAGUUCAAUUUAAUGAAAUUUAAUGCAACUUGCAUACAAGUGAAAUAUGCAGCUAGCUUUAAAACUAGGUUUUAUACAUUUUUACAAAAUGUCCUUUCUUCAAGUUUUCACAUUUACUGCAAAUCUAUAAAGUUCGAGCAUCGAAUGCAACAGGCCACUAUAAAUUCUAAUCGAAUCGUAAUGUCAUUGGACUUAGAAUUAAGUGAUUUUUUUUUAAAUUAAUGGAAAUGAAUGUCUUUUGAAUAUAAUAGUUUUUGGCUGAACCUUUGAUAAUUGUCUAGUGAUUGAGCAAUUUUGUUAAGUUACCCACAGCCGUUUAAGCACAGUGAAUGUAUGGUAAUAAGUCACAAUUUAUCAAUGAUACCUAAAUCCGAAGAAAAUUCAACAUAACAGUGGACGAAUAAUCGAAUUUAAAGAACAAUACAAUAAAAAAUGUGAACAUUUUGAUAAAUUUAUUUCCAUAAAUCACAAUUUAUCAAUGUACCAAAAUUUGAAGCAAAUUCAACUUAACAGUGGACGAACCAUCGAAUCUAAAAAAAAGAAUACAAUUUCAAAAUUAUGAAGAUUUUGAUAAAUGUAUUUCAAUAAAUCACAAUUAAUCAGUGUUCCGAUUUCUUUUCGAAGCCAAUAUAACUCGUCAGUGACAAAAACAUCGACUUUGGAAGACAAUACAAUUUUCAAAUAUGAACUUUAUGAUGAAUUUAUUUCUAUCAAAUUGCAAUCUAUCAUUGUUGCCGACUUCGUUCAUUAUACCGCAGAAAUUCGCUCUGGGGAAUUGCAAUUAAUUACAUGUAAAACUGAUAUGGAUGGCAAUGGCUAUCAAAAUACGGCUUUUACCUUUUUGUUUCCAAACUGUUACACUAAUAGCUAAUAUAUGAGGUAUCAAUGGUUGAAAACUCUUUGAAGGGAUCCGGAGGUACACUAAUAGCUAAUAUAUGAGGUAUCAAUGGUUGAAAACUCUUUGAAGGGAUCCGGAGUUACACUAAUAGCUAAUAUAUGAGGUACCAAUGGUUGAAAACUCUUUGAAGGGAUCCGGAGUUACACUAAUAGCUAAUAUACGAGGUAUGAAUGGUUGAAAACUCCUUUAAGGGAUCCGGAGCAACCAUCAAACUUCAAAGGGGGGAUACAUGCAUGUUUGUUUGUUUUUAUUUAUUUUUUUGCGCAAACAUAUUGAUUCACUUUCUCAACGCGAUCAACCAGAUUAUUUUAUUUUCAAAAUUAAACACAGUGACUUUAGGGUUGGGGGUUGCAUUCAGAAUUAAAAAAAGAUGUCAUCUGUUUUACCAGAAUAAUUGUUUUCUUCAAUUAGGGAUCAGAAUAGGGUUUUAUUUUAGAAAACAAAGCCAAUAUCGCUCCCCCCUUUUUUUGAAGAUAAACGGUCGUUCCCUAAUACUGAUAAUAAUAAUUAAUAAAAAUGCUUUAAAAAAUGAAAAAAAAAAUAUUGUCUAUAACUGUAUAAUAAUCUUAUGAGUAAAGCCGUUUUCAACUGUAUUUUUUUAUAGUUUUUUUUCUUAUGCUGUACUGUUCUAGGUUGAGGGAGGGUUGGUGCCUUCAGACUAGUUUAACCCCACUACAUUCUGUAUGUGCCGGUCCCAAGUAAGGAGUCAGUUUCAGUACGAGAACUCGUUGUGUACGUAUUCUUAUGAAGUAAAUCGCCCGCCUUACGUUUGACAAUAAAAGUUUUUGUGAUACUUAACUAAUGGUUUUCUACUGCGUCAUUUAUGUCAAAACAUUCUAAGAUUUUGUUUUGAGGUUUUUUCAUUGCUCCGGCCUAAGCACUUUUUUUAAAUACGGAUCAUAAUUUAAAAAAAAUAAUAAUGGAAGAAUAAUAACAGGAUGAAUGUAUUUCAUGACAAAAAAUAAAAGAUUGCUUUUGUAUCGGUUGUAUAAGAACUGGAAUGUUUCCAUGUCAGUAUCACAAAUAUAUACAGUGGUUUUAAUGGGGAAAAAACUUACGAAACUUGCUAAAAUGAGGAGCAUACACUUUACCAAGAGUUGAAGAACGUCCCGUAAAGGCCCACUGCGGAAUAGUAUAAUAUGAUUCAAAAAGGUCGACAUUUUGUUCAAUGUUAAGAUAGAAAAACAUAAGACUUACGACAAUGAGAAAGACCAUGUUUGAAACGUAAAAUGAAGCUUGAUAAAAUACUGGCAAUCACGGCAAAGAUAUCAAUUUCGUGUUUUGUUGGUUUUUGUAAUGCAUAAAACACGUCGACAAUAAAUAUUAUAUCAGACAAUUCUUUAAAUUAUAGCUAGUGAACGACCGGGGCAGGUAAUGGUUUUUUCCUGAAAUAUUCUGAUCCCCAAUUUGUAAAAUAAACAUAUAUAUUCUGCUCAAGCAGAUGCUGCCAAAAAAUAUAUUCAAAAUCCAGAAUUUCCCCAUAACUUAUAGUGCUAAAUUUUGGAAAAAAAUCGAUUGAUAGCGUUGAAAACUCACCUCCGCCUUCCACCUCAUCCUCACCCACACCCCCACUUGAGGUUUUCAGGUAUGUUAGCUGCUCACUUAUAUAUGUCAACUACAUUUGUAUUUUGACAACUGACAUUAUUAUACUUCACGUUAAAAUGGUAUAUUUUGAUUGGCUAAUAUGAGGGUGUUAAUUUACUCUAUCACAUGGCUGAACGGGUGACAAUUUCUGUUGAUUUUUCUUAUACCUGUAACGUUGUUAUGUACUUGAAGUAAUAAAAAAACAAAAUUUAGUUGUAAACGACAACAAUGAUAGGACAUUCAGUAUAAUAAAUUUAAUAACAUAUAGCUGAGAGGGUGAUAGAGCAGAUUGGUACCCCUCGAAAAAGAAUUGUCAACCGUGGCGAGCCACGGUUUGACAAUGUUUUCUUGGGGUAACAAUCUGUUCUAUCACCCUCUCUGCUAUAUGUUAUUUAUAUAUUAUCAACAUUGUCUAUAAGUACAGUCGUCUUAAUCAAAGUAAUUCCAUAGCCUGCAUCGAAACAGCGGGAAAAUAGUUUUAUGCGCUUUUCAUAUGAAGUAAAUCGCCUUACGUCUAACAAUAAAAGUUCUCAUGAUAUUUAACUAUAAAUGGUAACUUUUAUACUGCGUCAUUUAUGUCAAAACAUUCUGGGAUUUUAUUUCUCGGUUUUACAUUGCUCGUGGCUAUAACAUUAAACUGAUACGGGUCAUAAUUAAAAAAAAUAUAUAAUGGAAUAAUAAUAACAGGAUAAAGUUAUAUAAGAAUAGAUAAGCAAUACAUGAAUGAAUAUAGUGAUGAAAUUAAUUGUUUAGGAUUGAUAUUUACGGGGGGAAACUGAAUUUUAAUGAAUGUCAAUAGAUUAAACAGAGAGGGAAUGCAUGUUUACUUCAUUGAUAUUACAGUGAAACAUGGCUAAACCGAAUUCUGCUUAAACCGAAAACCCUGUAAUAACAACAUGUUCUAAAGCACCAUCAUAUCAGUUUGUAUGUGUUGUGAACCUGAUAAAACCGAACAUCAGCCAAAACCGAACACAGUCAAUCUUAAGUCCCGAAGAGGUUCGGUUUAAACAGGUUUCACUGUAUAACAGUUUAUUGAAUAUAAUGCACAUUUUUACCCAUAUGGGUUGAAGGCAUACAUACAUGUAAAUCAACAUAAUAAUUUAACAAUACAUCAUACAGAAAAAAAAAAAAAAACAACAAAAGAACAAAACAUUAUAUACAUAUAUGUAUCUAUCAUGCAGUUGUUGAGUCCACCCUUCUCAGUGACCAUGACUUUUUAACAAAUGAAACAGCAUACUGCAUAAUUGACGGACAAGAAAGACAUAAAACCAAUUUAUCCAAAUUAUCCAUAUUAUCUAUAUUAGAAUAGAUAUUUUUAACUUUCUGCAAAAAUUCAAAUCUCAAAUCUUUAUUUUUUGUACAUGUAAAUAAAAAAUGCUCUUCAUCAUCUAUUUUAUUUAGACAACAAUGUUGACAUAUUAUAACGGUUAGAUAAGACUUACAAUAUGUCGCUGACAGUAUAAAAAAUGAACAAGAAAAUUGUUAUUUGGAUGGAGAGUUGUCUCCUUGGCACUCACACCACAUCUUCCUAUAUUUAAGAAAACUUAAACAUACAUUUUUUCACAAAUCAUUAGCAUACACCAUACCAAGAGCUGUAGAACCUCCCAAAAAGUUCACUGCGGAAGAGUAAAAACAGUCAGGUCCAAAUUUGUUUAAUAGUCAGGUCAAAAUUUUGUUUAAUAGUAAUUACUAUUAAACACAAUUUUGACCUGACUGUUUUUACUCUUCCGCAGUGAGCUUUUUGGGAGGUUCUACAGCUCUGGCCUGACUAUUAAACAAAAUUUUGACCUGACUGUUUUUACUCUUCCGCAGUGAACUUUUUGGGAAGUUCUACAGCUCUUGGUAUGUUUGACAUGUUAAAAAUAAGAACUAUGUCACAGAUCAAGUUUGAAAAGAAAACAUUCACGGAAGUCUAAUUCAUCACGAAUUGUUUUACUUAUAAGAAGUUUCGGUGUCUCACGAUGCUAUAGACAAGUUUUUGCAGUCAGAAUAGUUGUCCAAUUUAAAUAUUUACAAUAUCCAAAAAGAACAUGUCUCGCCUCACUUAUUUUGGUUUGGAAUUCAUGCGAUUCCCUCAGUUUUUGUGUUUUAAAAUGAUUUGAAAAUCGGUAAACUUAUGUUGAUUUUAAUUCCGAAUGUAGAAACAACAAGCAAGUCAAUAAUCAAAAACUUCGCGGUUAUUGCAGACAUAUUUAACUAGAGGCUCUAAAGAGCCUAUGUCGCUCACCUGUAUUUACUGAUGCUUUUGAAAUCAUGUAAAAUAAGGGCAGAUCUAUAGAUCUUGACCUGAUAAACUUUUUUUAUCCCAUGUCAGAUUUGCUCUAAAGGCUAUUGUUUCAGAGAUAUAAGCCAAAUUCUACAUUUUUAUCCCUUUUGUUCUAUUCAUAGCCAUGUCGGCCAUCUUGUUUGGUUGGCCGGGUUGACGAAGGACGCCGGACGCAAAGUGAUGAGAAAAGCUCACUUGGCCCUUCGGGACAGUUGAGCUAAAAAGGGACAUUGUUUUACAGAGAGGGAAAUAGCUCAAAAGUACGGGAAAACCGUUGCAACGGUUCUGUUUCAAUGAUGUUUUCUCUGUUUUUCAAAUCAAUGUAAUGACAAUCUGUCCCUCAUUCAACACGGCUGAAAUGAGCCAAUUCUUUUUAAUCUUGUAAUAUUCAUGACGAUUAUCGUUAACUGCUUCCGUUUGUUUCAGAAUAUAAAACAUGUACGUCAAGUUCCGACUGUGGGGUGAAAGAUACCAUGUGUUUGGAUAGUGGCUAUUGCAUGUGCAUAUAUAAUCUACACAAAUUGACGAAAGAUGGAAGUUGUGAAGAAGACAAAG
rnacentral:lncRNA from 1 species